rnacentral:misc_RNA from 1 species
GAUGAAGAACGUAGCGAAUUGCGAUAUGUAAUGUGAAUUGCAGAAUUCAGUGAAUCAUCGAAUCUUUGAACGCACAUUGCGCCCGCUGGUAUUCCGGCGGGCAUGCCUGUUCGAGCGUCAUUUCAACCCUCAAGCCCCCGGGUUUGGUGUUGGGGAUCGGCUCUGCCCUUCUGGGCGGUGCCGCCCCCGAAAUACAUUGGCGGUCUCGCUGCAGCCUCCAUUGCGUAGUAGCUAACACCUCGCAACUGGAACGCGGCGCGGCCAUGCCGUAAAACCCCAACUUCUGAAUGUUGACCUCGGAUCAGGUAGGAAUACCCGCUGAACUUAAGCAUAUCAAUAAGCGAGGA